CACGUAGGGCGCGAGCGUUGUCCGGAAUUAUUGGGCGUAAAGAGCUCGUAGGCGGUGCGUCGCGUCGGCCGUGAAAACUUGCAGCUUAACUGUGGGCGUGCGGUCGAUACGGGCAUCACUGGAGUUCGGCAGGGGAGACUGGAAUUCCUGGUGUAGCGGUGAAAUGCGCAGAUAUCAGGAGGAACACCGGUGGCGAAGGCGGGUCUCUGGGCCGAUACUGACGCUGAGGAGCGAAGGCGUGGGGAGCGAACAGG
rnacentral:rRNA from 1 species